rnacentral:lncRNA from 1 species
AGUAAAAUAAUAAACUGGGCAUGGUGACGCACACAUUUGUAGACCCAGGAAAAACCAGCCACCAUGUUGUAAGGAUGCUCAAGUAGCACUAUGGAGAUUCACACGUGGCAAAGAGCUGAGGCCUCCCACCAACAGCCACAUGAGGGAGCCAGAGUAGGAGUGGCUCCUCCAGCCCCAGUCGAACCUUCAGAUGUGACAGACUUGGCUGCUGACAGUUUGCAAUCUCAUGAGACCCUGAGCCAGAACCACCCAGCUAAAUCAGUCCUGGACUCCUGAUCAACAGAA